UUUUCCUGUUCUUUGUUUCAGGGAUGCACUGGCAUUACUUACUUUGAGGCAAACUGUACCUGGAUGUUUGCAGAGGACUGAUGGGAGCUGCUGUGUGGCCUUCAGGGAGAUGCAGACAUCCUUUGAGCACACUUGUAUCUUCACAGCACAUCCUGGGGUUUAACCCACGCCAGUGGGACACAAGAAGGAGGACCAUACACCUAUCCAUGCCAUCAGCCCCUCAGCUGCAUGGGCUCCUGUCCCAGCUGGGCAUCAGCACUGGAGAACGUGUUGGGGUGCGAGGCUGAUGAUUUCAUCCUGUGGUGUUUGUGGAGCUGUUCCCUGGGUUUACCAGUGCCGCUGCUGUGAGGUUUGGACAGGGGCUGCCUGGGGCUGGUGGACAGCUUUCCUUUUUGAGCAUCAGCCACGUGACCCAGCUGGUCCAGCAGUGGGGCUGUGCACGUGAUGGACAACGUGGUGUCAGCAGAGGUUCGUAGAUCUGACCAUGCUGUGUGAGGCACAGCUCUGUGCUCUCUGCCACAAGUGCUGCAUUGUUUGAGCCGAGGAAACAAAGGUAUCUGGAUGUGAUAUGCAGUGAUGUCAAUUUGCUGUGAGCUGCUGGGCCGCGUGGCUAAGGCACAGAUGUCUGACCUGAUGUAGUGCAGUGCCCGACCCUGGGGCAGCUCCUGCAGAGACCAAAAGUCAGCACAGAGCAAACAGAGCUUACGGCCUGAUGGAUGGCAAACGUUUAUAUGAUGUAAGAGUUAAACUGACUAGAUUUUAUUUUAAUUGCCCAACACCUGGUUGUACAGAAAAUCCCAAACCAACAUUCUAAGCAUGCUUGUUACAUGUGAUC
rnacentral:lncRNA from 7 species